rnacentral:lncRNA from 1 species
CGUAGCCGUGGGGCUCCAGAGCGCGUGCGCGCGUCGAGCCCGGUCGCCACGCCCCUUCCGAGGGUCGCUCCGCCCCCGUCGGGCCCCGCGAGCGCGCGGUGGGGGAGGGGAGGGCCCCGGAGCGCGCCUGCGUGGGGCGGGGGCGGCAGCCGACUAGGGGCUGGGUCUGGCCGUUUAGGGCCGGGUCUUGGCCCGUCGCCCACGGUGCGGAGGGCUGGUGGGCUUUCCUUGGCCGUCGGGCCCGCCACGGCGCGGGUCUUGGCUGCGGGGCGGAGGUGGGGCGGGAGAGCCGAGGAUAAGAGUUUGAGGCUUUUCGAGGCGCGUGCCGCGGCGUCCGCCUCUGCGGGACUCUGCGCCGGGCGCCCUCGGCCGGCGCGCCCGGCUCCCGCUUUGUCGCCGAGGGAAGCACGCGCGACGCCCCUCCCGUCGCCGCCGUGGCUUCUUUCGGUGUUCGUGAUUUGCUGAGAGGCUGGAAAGCAGCACGGCGGAGAGGAGCCUUGCACUCGCCAGGCGGGAAGCCUGCGCGGACACGCGUGCGCACCCACGGGGCGGCGGGCGGGCGUGGGGGGUCCGGGCCACGCGGGCGACGCGCCUCUAGGGAAGCGAUCUUGUUGCACCUUCCCGUUAUUCUGAAAGCAAAUCGUAGCCAGACCCGAGCGCAGCGGCUUAGCAAAUAAUAAGGGGAGCGUCAGUCGUGCUCGAAAUGCUUCCUUCGCGAUGGCGUCAGUGUUCCGUGAGGGAAUGAAGCCGCAGUAGGAAAUAAAGAGGCUGUGCGCGUAGUCUGAAAAGCAGAAGUCAACAUUUUUACAGAUGAAGAAAGAAUACGGAGGCAAGAGGUCUUUCUCUGCAGUUUGGUGGAUUUCCAACAUUUAGACUUGUUUGGAAGAAUUUCCUCAGCUGCACCAAUGAAGUCCUUGAUCUAUAGAAGUCGGCAGUCCCUAAAUCUACGUCUGCAUUUUGUUGCAAAUCCUUUAUAACAUUCCAUUAAAAUAAUGCAGAGUUAUUUAAUAUCCAGUUGGCCAUCGUGAGAGUAAUUCGCGGCUGAGAUUUUGUUAAUCAUUCUGUCUUCUGACUUAACAGUGAACGUUGAAUUUUAUGACAAUAUUCCACCAUUUUUGACCCAUAGAAAUGGCAGUGUCAUAAGGCUCAACCACUUAAACCAGAUUAAAGAACAAUGAUAGGCAAUUUUCAUUUCCUAUGUAUUAAAUCACUUACGGUUACAGCAUUUG